rnacentral:tRNA from 1 species
GCGAAGAGAGCUAGGAAGGUUAAGUUUUAGUUUGUGAUUCUAAGGUACAUGGGUUCGAGUCCCAUUCUUCGCCC